rnacentral:rRNA from 1 species
AUGCAGCAAGUUCAGUUUGGAGGAAGUGGAUCAUCUACUGGAGGAAGUGUGCAGAACAGCCAGCCGGAUUCUAGUAAGAAUAAGAAAAAGAAGAACCAAAAGAUCAAGCAGGCAGAUGCUGCUACUACUAGUGAUGAAUCCUCCUCCUUUAAUGUUGAUCCUAAGUUCAUAGGGGCAAUUUGCUACAACUGUGGUCUCCCAGGACACUUUGUGGGCAUGUGCCCCAUCCCAAAAGUGUGUUUCAUCUGCAAGACCCCUGGCCACCACAUGGAUACAUGUCCUACCUGGUACAGAGCCUACCCUGCUGCCAUGUACUGUGGGGAGUGCUAA